AGAGUUUGAUCCUGGCUCAGGAUGAACGCUGGCGGCAUGCCUAAUACAUGCAAGUCGAACGAGAGGAAGGAAAGCUUGCUUUUCUGAAUCUAGUGGCGAACGGGUGAGUAACACGUAGGUAACCUGCCCAUGUGUCCGGGAUAACUUCUGGAAACGGAUGCUAAAACCGGAUAGGUAGCAGACAAGCAUUUGACUGCUAUUAAAGUGGCUUUGGCCAUGAACAUGGAUGGACCUGCGGUGCAUUAGCUGGUUGGUGAGGUAACGGCCCACCAAGGCGACGAUGCAUAGCCGGCCUGAGAGGGCGGACGGCCACAUUGGGACUGAGACACGGCCCAAACUCCUACGGGAGGCAGCAGUAGGGAAUUUUCGUCAAUGGGGGGAACCCUGAACGAGCAAUGCCGCGUGAGUGAGGAAGGUCUUCGGAUCGUAAAGCUCUGUUGUAAGAGAAAAACGGCACUCAUAGGGAAUGAUGAGUGAGUGAUGGUAUCUUACCAGAAAGUCACGGCUAACUACGUGCCAGCAGCCGCGGUAAUACGUAGGUGGCGAGCGUUAUCCGGAAUGAUUGGGCGUAAAGGGUGCGUAGGUGGCAGAUCAAGUCUGGAGUAAAAGGUAUGGGCUCAACCCGUACUGGCUCUGGAAACUGAUCAGCUAGAGAACAGAAGAGGACGGCGGAACUCCAUGUGUAGCGGUAAAAUGCGUAGAUAUAUGGAAGAACACCGGUGGCGAAGGCGGCCGUCUGGCCUGGAUUCUGACACUGAAGCACGAAAGCGUGGGGAGCAAAUAGGAUUAGAUACCCUAGUAGUCCACGCCGUAA
rnacentral:rRNA from 1 species